rnacentral:rRNA from 1 species
CGCGCAGGCGGCUCUUUAAGUCAGGCGUGAAAGCCCAAGGCUAAACCUUGGAAGUGCGUUUGAAACUGAAGGGCUUGAGUACGGGAGAGGGAAGUGGAAUUCCUGGUGUAGAGGUGAAAUUCGUAGAUAUCAGGAGGAACACCGGUGGCGAAGGCGACUUCCUGGACCGAUACUGACGCUGAGGCGCGAAAGCGUGGGGAGGCAAAACA